AUUGAACGCUGGCGGCAGGCCUAACACAUGCAAGUCGAACGAGUGGCGGACGGGUGCGUAAUGUCUGGGAAACUGCCCGAUGGAUGGGGAUAACUACUGGAAACGGUAGCUAAUACCGCAUACCAUCGGAUGUGCCCAGAGGGUAUUAGCUAGUAGGUGGGGUAACGGCUCACCUAGGCGACGAUCCCUAGCUGGUCUGAGAGGAUGACCAGCCACACUGGAACUGAGACACGGUCCAGACUCCUACGGGAGGCAGUAGUGGGGAAUAUUGCACAAUGGGCGAAAGCCUGAGGCAGCCAUGCCGCGUGUAUGAAGAAGGCCUUCGGGUUGUAAAGUACUGUCAGCGAGGAGGCGUUACUCGCAGAAGAAGCACCGGCUAACUCCGUGCCAGCAGCCGCGGUAAUAC
rnacentral:rRNA from 1 species